rnacentral:tRNA from 1 species
GCCCUUAUAGCUCAGUGGUAGAGCGCUCCGCUCGUAACGGAGAGGUCGGUUGUUCAAUCCAGCCUGGGGGCA